UAUUAGGGGUGGUGUGCACGUAAUCUAUUUCAUCAAAAUAGCCCUUUCCUCAGGCUCCCUAAU
rnacentral:tRNA from 1 species